GACGAACGCUGGCGGCGUGCUUAACACAUGCAAGUCGAACGAGAAUCUGUGGAUCGAGGAUUCGUCCAAGUGAAGCAGAGGACAGUGGCGGACGGGUGAGUAACGCGUGAGGAACCUGCCUUUCAGAGGGGGACAACAGUUGGAAACGACUGCUAAUACCGCAUGAUACAUUUGGGUGGCAUCAUCUGAAUGUCAAAGAUUUAUCGCUGAAAGAUGGCCUCGCGUCUGAUUAGCUGGUUGGUGAGGUAACGGCCCACCAAGCCGACGAUCAGUAGCCGGUCUGAGAGGAUGAACGGCCACACUGGAACUGAGACACGGUCCAGACUCCUACGGGAGGCAGCAGUGGGGAAUCUUCCGCAAUGGGCGAAAGCCUGACGGAGCAACGCCGCGUGAGUGAUGACGGCUCGGUUGUAAG
rnacentral:rRNA from 1 species